rnacentral:tRNA from 1 species
GGAGGUAUGGCUCAAUGCUAGAGCACUUGCCCUGUAUGCAUGAGGCUCUGGGUUCCAUUCCCAGCACCACAA